rnacentral:rRNA from 1 species
GUCUACAGCCAUGCCACCCUGAACAAGCCCGAUCCCGUCCGAUCUCAGAAGCUAAGCAAGGUCGAGCCUGGUUAGUACUUGGAUGGGAGACCACUUAGGAAGACCAGGUGCUGUAGGCG